UGUGCUCUGCCGGUCUGAAUUCUUGUAUUUUGGGAAUUGUCAUAGUUUGUUGGACCCAGUUUUGCUCUUUCUCGUACGCUUCCCCCUUGUACUCCUGGCCCUCACAGUGCUUGC